AACGAACGCUGGCGGCAGGCUUAACACAUGCAAGUCGAGCGCCCCGCAAGGGGAGCGGCCGACGGGUGAGUAACGCGUGGGAACGUACCUUUUGGUUCGGAACAACUCCGGGAAACUGGAGCUAAUACCGGAUAAGCCCUAACGGGGAAAGAUUUAUCGCCGAAAGAUCGGCCCGCGUCUGAUUAGCUAGUUGGUGAGGUAACGGCUCACCAAGGCGACGAUCAGUAGCUGGUCUGAGAGGAUGAUCAGCCACACUGGGACUGAGACACGGCCCAGACUCCUACGGGAGGCAGCAGUGGGGAAUAUUGGACAAUGGGCGCAAGCCUGAUCCAGCCAUGCCGCGUGAGUGAUGAAGGCCUUAGGGUUGUAAAGCUCUUUUGUCUGGGAAGAUAAUGACUGUACCGGAAGAAUAAGCCCCGGCUAACUUCGUG
rnacentral:rRNA from 1 species